UUGUGUGUGUGUGUGUGUGUAUGUGUGAAAAAUCAGAACUUGGUGAUGACCUUGAGCAACAGGAUAUACAUAACUGCCACAAGCUUAGCAUUCCAAUAGUGGAACACUAGGCAUAAAUGGGUUAUGGCUUCAGUAUCCUGCAAAAUAUCCCUGUAAGGUAGCUGUCUAUGCUUAAACACCUUGGUCUUAGGAAACUAGGAUUUGUGGAUAUUAGGCAAUGUUAUGGGCUGAUUGUGUCCCCUAAAAUACAUAGGGUGAAGCCCUAAGCUCCUACCAACUGUAUUUGGAGAUAAGGCCUUUGAAGAAGUAAUUAAGGUUUAAUGAGGUCAUAAGGUUGGCACUCUAAUCCACUAGGACUGGCGUCCUUAUAAGGACAGGAAGAGACAUCAGAGGUUCUCUUGAGCUCACAAAGAAAAGGCUGUGUAAGGACACAGCAGCAGAAGGCUAUCUGCAGCCAAAGACAGAGGCCUCAGGAAAAACCAAACCUGAUGACACCUCAGUAUUGGACUUCUAGCCUCCAGAGUUAUAUGGACCCACCUCUCUAUUUUCAAGAGCAUUAAAUUCAGUUAAAAACUAAAAACAAAAAUACUGCCAAGGGAUUGAGACGGUAAAGUAACAUCAUGCCUGAUAGAAUAAACUAUCAAGACAGCAUGAACAAACCCAACUGAAAUGGAACAAGCAAGCUUAACACAAGUCAAAGAAGCUCUCUAGAGUGUUAAAAUGAAAAUACAACUAAACAGAACCAAAACUGCUAUUCAUGGGAAUAGCAAAUGAAGAAUUUUCUUCAGAAUCUACACGGAUAACUUCUAUGAGAUUAUUCAAAAUGUGGAAAUUUUUUUCAGAAUUUUUGUUUCCAAAUGGAAUUUAAUACAUUUCAUGAAACAAAUGAAAUUUUAUCAGAAAUAAAACAUUUAAAUUACCAAAAGCCUAGCCUCCUUAGGAAGGCUGUUUUAGGAAGACAUGGGUAGAAAUAUUUUCAUCAAAGCCCUGAUCAUCUUCCCUUUUUGAGAUAAGGAAACUGAGGUGCAUUAUAAUAGCAACAGCAGCUGAUGUGUAGUAGAUCCAUACCACAAGCCAGACGAGGCACAAGUCAACCAGAGGUUAUGCAAUUAGCUUGGAGUCAAAGAGAAAGCAAGGAGUAGAGCUGAGAAGGAAACCCCAGUGUGAACUUGAUUUUUAUUCAAUCAAACUGUUAAGGUACCAACCACGCACUUUCAUCUAUAAUCACAAUGAACCUUUUAAUAAACAUGUUUCUAUCCUCUUAGCUUAAAAAAUAUAACAGUAGCUUUUUGGAUUUUAAAACAGAUUGACUUCUAUACUUCUGGGCUAAAGGCAGCUCAAGAGUCAAUAAGAAUCACAAGCUUUCCACAGUGAGAAGAAAGUGCAAUUGCCCAGUCCUCUCUAUCUAUGAAGUGCAGACAGUAUUCCUCUUCCUCACCUCACACUUUCGAUUAUUGCAAUGGUGGAAACCAUGAUAAAUAAAAGCGCUUAUCUAGUGGUUUGGUUUUCACUAAAAUUACAGACUUCUGUAACAUUAUUUGGAUACCAUAAAACACAAACCAAAUUUUAGGAGAUGCUUUAGGGUGUUUUUUCCCCUGCCCUCCUGUCGGAAGCCCUCUAUCUUUUUACUGUAAUUUAUCUGAUAUAGCUACCAAGAUGCUUGAUACUUUUACAUGCAAGGGUGCUGAAAAACAAAGAGCGAGGGAAUGGGUUGUUAAUGAAAUUCUCUGAUUGUAAAAAGCACUCUGGAAUGAUCAGGUGGUAAAUAAUAAUAAGAGGAAAUAACAUAAAGUGCUUAGGUGCUACAGCGAUAGUCACCAUAUAAAUGCAGAAGAGAUCAGACAUGAAUAGAAUUUGCAUUUUAUGCAGCUGCUGUGUGUGUAUAUAGAAUAUACAGUAGCUAAUUUUUCAAUAAUGCUGGUAAAAUAUUGUUCAAAAUCUAUUCUUGCUGUCUUCUCACUUUAAAAGGCAUUAUAUAGAAAAACACCCAUCUGUCCUAGUGCAAUGGUGAAUGUGUGCAAAGAGCCUAGAAAAAGAGCCUCUUUGCAUACGUGAAAAAAAAGAACUCAAAUAAAAGGAGAUAAUGAAGAAGAGACAAUAGUAACACUAUUAGAACAGCUAUGCAGACAAGCACAAAGGUGAUCUUUGAAAAACAUCAGGGAUAAAUAACUCUGUUAAUGUGUGGCAGAGAAACUACAGUUAAGACAUACAGUAAUAUACCAAAAAUAUAGACAUGCUUUUAUUUUGUCUACUGGGCUAUUGUGAUAGUGAUGGUUGUUUUUGAAUAGAAAGGAAGAAGAGAGUGGGAAGUAGGAUUUCGUUGUUUGUUGUUACUGUUGCUGCUCAGUUUAGAACAACAACAUCAACUACACACCAGACCCGUCCAACAGUUCCACAAACAAUGCUUACCAUGAAUCUGCCCUCAAUUUUCUUGUUGUUAUUUUCCCUUAAUACUUAUUGAUAACCCAAUGCCCAUUCAUUAGAUAUGCUAAAUCCUCGUCCAUGGUUACUCUCCUUUGGAAGAGACUGAGAAGAUGCUAAGAGGGAGUUCCUCUUACACAUAAGGGAAGAGUCUGUUUAGGAAUCUGAGAAAGCAGAGGCCAGGAUAAAGAGACCACUAGUCAAUCAAUACUAAGCACCGAAGACUGAAUCACCCAAAGAUACAAUUAUCUCCCUUCCUUUGUUCUGUCUCUUAGUCAAAUAAAGGAUUGUUUGUAGAACCUUUUCUGUUCCUGAUCUCUAAAAAGCAGGACUGGACUUGCACAUCCAACUAUAAUUCAAAAUAUCUCACACUUCCAACUUGAAAGAAGACAUAAACUGUUUCAAAGAAACUCAGAGAGAGCAAAUGCAUAUUCACAAAACUUACACUUA
rnacentral:lncRNA from 1 species